AGAGUUCGAUUAUGGCUCAGGACGAACGCUGGCGGCGUGCUUAACACAUGCAAGUCGAACGAGAAGAGAUGAGAAGCUUGCUUCUUAUCGAUUCGAGUGGCAAACGGGUGAGUAACGCGUAAGCAACCUGCCCUCUAGAUGGGGACAACAGCUGGAAACGGCUGCUAAUACCGAAUACGUUCUUUCUGUCGCAUGGCAGAGGGAAGAAAGGGAGGCUCUUCGGAGCUUUCGCUGGAGGAGGGGCUUGCGUCUGAUUAGCUAGUUGGAGGGGUAACGGCCCACCAAGGCGACGAUCAGUAGCCGGUCUGAGAGGAUGAACGGCCACAUUGGGACUGAGACACGGCCCAG
rnacentral:rRNA from 1 species